UCCCGAGCAGGUCCUCCAGUAAUAUAGUAUAGCUCAGUGUUCACACCGCCAUUACGCCAUAUUUUUCAAGCCUUCAUUCUGAAUUUAUGGGUUCGAAAAAUUCGCUUUUUUUAAGCGACGACGAAUGAUUUGAACGAAGAGGAAACAGCCGGGAUGACUGAAUAAUGUUCAGGUAAGCAUAUUGUUAUGUUAUAUGUAUAAUGGAGCAGUUUUGAAAGUAAAUAUUCGCUAUCUUCAUUCAUGAAUUUUGAGCAUGUGUUCAUGUUUAAAAUUUGAAUUUGCCGCGACAAUAUUUGAAUUAAAAAGAUGAUAUAAAUACAUUAGUUUUAUAGAAGGCUUACAUUUGACUUUAUAUUAAAUUAUGUUUAUUGUAUAAAGGGCAACUAAUAUUUGUGUAUAUGAAUAUAAGACAGAUUGCCAGAUAACAAUGUUUCUGGUAUAAAGUAUAAAUAUAGCUAGGCAUCUACUCAAUCAUACGCUCAACUACACAUGUCCCAGCUAAACAUGGUUUGAGAAAAUGCAACCAGUUGUUUCAAAUCAACUGCUACUUUCAUAAGUUUCUAAUUUUUAUAUAUCUAGGUUUUUUAUGUCCAAAUUCUUCAAUCAAUGAAAAAAUCUAUUUCACUGUUAGAGGUGUUAUGCACCAGUCAUUGAAAACCUAUACAACUCAGACUGUUGCUGAUAAGUGGGGGUUAAGUGCCAGGAAAAUUUUCUAUGCUACCGUAAACCUCCAAAUAUAAGCCCCCCCUUGUAUAAGCCCACCACCCCGUGUAUAAGCCCACCACAUGUACUGUACUAACUUAAGGCUCACCUCAUUCCGAAUAUAAGCCCAGUAGCCCACUACGUUAUUCAACAUUGACAUUGUCUUUUAAUUAACCCAUUAAGCUGAGGAGCUUUCCCAUUGACAAGUAAAAUCGUCUGGCGUUAGACAAGUAAAAAAAUAAGUAAGGCACACUGGGGCGCAUUGCGGCUUGAUGGGUUUACCAGAGACAUUGUCAGAUUUUUUGGUCAACCCAUUAAGCUGCAGAGUUUACCCAUUGACGAGUAAAAUCGUUUGGCGUUAGACAAGUGAAAAUAAAGUAGAGCGCACUGGGGUGCGUUGUGGCUCAAUGGGUUAAUAUAGCAGAGAACAAUAUUUAAAAACAUUGUCUUUAUAGCUUAAGUCAAUGUCGUUAAUUAAUCAAAGUGCAUUAUUACUAUGUGUUUAUUUUCCUGUUUAUGACUGACUUGUUUAUUACACUAACACAAAAGAUUGUCCAUGUAUAUAAGCUCUAUCCCUCAUAUAUACUGUAAGCCCCCCCCCCCCUUGUAUAAGCCCAUCAAAAAUAUAGCCCAGGGUUUAUAGUCCGAGAUUUACUGUAUUCCAUGAACCCAUUAAGAUGUGAUGUUGUGAUGGAUUAACAGACUGUGUGUGCAUGUCUCAGUUACCAUUAGCACUUACAUUACCCUAAUUUAAUUUCUAUUUGACUUCAGUCUCACACCAGGUGUUGGUUGUUCAUAGCAGGCCUUAAAAUAUCUUUUACAGGGCCGUCUGACAAAAUGUCCGAUGACAUUGAGUUUGGGUCGGACAUAUGUCCGAUGACCUUCAGUUCAAUUUUGAGACUUGGAAAUAAGUGUGAAUGCCGACAAAAUGAAUAUCAGCAGAAUGUGUUAAUUCUGAACGGUAAAUGUUGUGAAGAUAUUAAUUAAUUUGUUCUUUCAUACUUAUUUCCAAGCCAAAAUUAGCUUGUUUUCCAGAACAGCAGUCAGUAAAAGACUUAGAUGACUUAAGCCUGUUUUCCACUUCACCAUGCAUUUCGCUCCCCGCCCCGUGCUUGACUAUGUUAAAAAAAUUUCAAGUUCACCUUAAAAUUAUACAAUAGUACUCUGAUUUUCCAUUUAACAUACAAGCCUCUAGCCCUGGGAUAGGGUACAUUUUGAUUUACGUUGGACAAAGCUACAGUUCGGUCGGACACACAUACACUCAGGUCGGACAAACAAUAAACCUCAAUUUCACUUUGGUCAGACAGAAUGUCUGGUGGUUUCCUCUCUACGUCGGACAAUUUCACUAAUGGGUUGGACAAUGUCCAUGACCGACCAAUAUUUUAAGGCCUGCAUAGCCAGAUUAACCCUAACCCGUAGUUAAAAUUUAUGUAUUUCUACAUACAGUAUCUUUUUGUUUUAAAAUUAUGAAAAGAAAACUCCUAUGGUACUGAUCCAGACAAGAUGUCUAAAGAAAUAUUUCCAAAUUUAUAAGUUUGCUUAAUCUAAGGUUAACUUACCGGCUUUCGAACAAUCAACCCCUGCAUGAUGAUUUUGUUUGUCAAUGGGGAGUGUGUUGGACUUAAAAGGUUUUAACCUUUCAUUGAAACUAGAUUGUCUGCCCGCAUUUUGUGUUAACACAUUAUUAAGAUAAAAGCCAGGCUACUUUCAGUACUUCAUGAUUUUACUAUGUCUAACAUCAGAGGGUCACAUUUCAUAUUAACCCUUUUAGAUGCAAAGUACAUUUUAGUCAUCCAGAGGGGGAGGGAGUCCAAGAGUAGAAUCUUCUGAGACUGAUAAUAGUAAGAUGUACUAAGACAUCAAUGGAAUGGUGUAGGGGGGGUUAAAUUCCAAGUUUUUUUGUAUGUCAUGCUUGAAGUUUUCAAGGAUGGAUAGAUCGGCUUAGAUAAAAAUGUCAAUUUGAUGUUUUGUGUGGCAACUUGAAUAUGGACAUCUCCCUAAUUGGAAACAGUUAUAAAGUCCUUAGUUUGUUUGUUCAAACUCAUGAAUACAUUUAGCUAGCUACACCACCCACAUGAUCUGCUUAGUUAUAUAUGUAACAACCCAAUUCACUCCAAUUAACCCAGUUUUCAGCACUUUCUUAAAUUAUGUCACCUUUCCUAAUGCCGGACAAGUUAAUUUGUGUGUAGCUAGAUUUUGCCCAUGUUUCAUGUUGACAUAUUUAGAUACAAUUUUCCCUAACACUCCCUACUUUAAAUACUUUACUAUUGAACUGUGACAUCUCAUGCUAGACAAUUUUACUUAUCGGCUGUGGACUGCUUGCCCUCAUUUCACCUAUUAACACCGAAGAAACAAUUUCCUCUUAAAUGUUGCCUACUUUCGGUUCUUUCUAGGGGUGUGCAGGACAGAGUAUUUCUGCUAUCCAGCCAGAUACAGGAUAUGCUGGAUAGCUGAAAAAUAUCCAGCCUGAUUCAGGGUAUUAUUCAAAUAAUUAUAUAAGGUUCAGGCAUCAUUUAAGGUUAAGUACCGGUAAUAAUUUUAUUUGGUUAAAAAGUAAACAGUCUAAAACUAGUAAACAUGCAUCAUUGGUAGCAAAAGCCUCGUUUACAUCAGUUAAAAGUUAAUUAAAAUCCCCAUUUUACUCCUCAAGAGCAGUGUCCUGCUCACUAAUGGUUAUCCAAACUAUCUGCCAAUGUGCCUUGAUAACCCAUUAAGCCGAAAUGCACCCAAAUGGACCCGCCUUUGUUAUUUUACUCUGUCAAGCGCCAGACAAUUUUAGUCAUCAAGAAGAGAGUCCGCGUGCUAGUGGGUUAAAUGACUUAAUUACAUAUGUUAUAUAUAUAUAUACACUUAAGCUGUUAGAUUGUCCCAUUGUAUAUUAAUUUUUUACUUAUCUUGACACAGGCUUGUAUGUUGGAUCGAUACAACUACCUGUAAAAAUGGUUAAACUUGGCUAUGUGAUUCAAAGGUUGUGGUUCACCGAGCGAUAAAGAAAAUGAUACAAAGAUGGAAUGAUUGGAUGCAAGUUAUUUACAGUGUUUCAUAUGACAGGUAUUCUGAUUGUGGAAGAUGUGGGCUUGCAAUAUUUUGACAAUUGCAUGGCUAUAAAGUACGAGACAAUUAAUAUAGUACUCCAUUACUCUAAUUGCCAGAACACUGCAUCAGAAUGAGAAGUUGUCUGUUACAGUUCGGUUUAGUAAAAGUACAUAGUAAAAGUACA
rnacentral:lncRNA from 1 species